GAUGAACGCUGGCGGCGUGCCUAGCACAUGCAAGUCGAGCGGCAGCGAGGGGUGCUUGCACCCUGUCGGCGAGCGGCGGACGGCUGAGUAACGCGUGGGAACGUGCCCCAAAGUGAGGAAUAACUGCCCGAAAGGGUAGCUAAUACCGCAUAUUAUCUUCGGAUCAAAGGAUUUAUCCGCUUUGGGAGCGGCUCGCGUCGGAUUAGGUAGUUGGUGAGGUAAUGGCUCACCAAGCCGACGAUCCGUAGCUGGUCUGAGAGGAUGACCAGCCAGACUGGAACUGAGACACGGUCCAGACUCCUACGGGAGGCAGCAGUGAGGAAUCUUCCACAAUGGGCGAAAGCCUGAUGGAGCAACGCCGCGUGCAGGACGAAGGCCUUCGGGUUGUAAACUGCUUUUAUAAGUGAGGAAUAUGACGGUAACUUAUGAAUAAGGAGCGGCUAACUACGUG
rnacentral:rRNA from 1 species